AGGACGAACGCUGGCGGCGUGCUUAACACAUGCAAGUCGAACGGAAAGGCCCGCUUGCGGGUACUCGAGCGGCGAACGGGUGAGUAACACGUGAGUAAUCUGCCCCUAGCUCUGGGAUAGCUCCGGGAAAACCGGGAUUAAUACCAGAUACGACCACUUUAGACAUCUCUUGUGGUGGAAAGAAUUUCGGCUGGGGAUGAACUCGCGGCCUAUCAGCUUGUUGGUGAGGUAACGGCUCACCAAGGCGACGACGGGUA
rnacentral:rRNA from 1 species